UACAUGGGGUGCAAACGUUGCUCGGAAUUAUUGGGCGUAAAGCGCACGUAGGCGGUUUGUUAAGUCGGAUGUGAAAUCCCUCGGCUCAACUGAGGAAGUGCAUCCGAAACUGGCAGGCUUGAGUACUAAAGAGGGUCGCGGAAUUCCCGGUGUAGAGGUGAAAUUCGUAGAUAUCGGGGAGGAACACCGGUGGCGAAGGCGGCGACCUGGGUAGAUACUGACGCUGAGGUG
rnacentral:rRNA from 1 species